GGGCCCUUAGCUCAGUCAGGUAGAGCAACGGCCUUUUAAGCCGGCGGUCGUGGGUUCGAUUCCCACAGGGCCCACCA
rnacentral:tRNA from 1 species